rnacentral:rRNA from 1 species
GUGGAGCAUGUGGUUUAUUCGACGCAACGCGAAGAACCUUACCUGGCCUUGACAUGCAGAGAACUUUCCAGAGAUGGAUUGGUGCUUCGGGAACUCUGACACAGGUGCUGCAUGGCCGUCGUCAGCUCGUGUCGUGAGAUGUUGGGUUAAGUCCCGUAACGAGCGCAACCCCUAUCCCUAGUUGCUAGCAGUUCGGCUGAGAACUCUAGGGAGACUGCCGGUGACAAACCGGAGGAAGGUGGGGAUGACGUCAGGUCAUCAUGGCCCUUACGGCCAGGGCUACACACGUGCUACAAUGGUGCGCACAGAGGGCUGCAAACCCGCGAGGGGGAGCCAAUCUCACAAAACGCAUCGUAGUCCGGAUCGCAGUCUGCAACUCGACUGCGUGAAGUCGGAAUCGCUAGUAAUCGUGAAUCAGAAUGUCACGGUGAAUACGUUCCCGGGCCUUGUACACACCGCCCGUCACACCAUGGGAGUGGAUUGCACCAGAAGUGGUUAGUCUAACCUUCGGGAGGACGAUCACCACGGUGUGGUUCAUGACUGGGGUGAAGUCGUAACAAGGUAACCGUA